rnacentral:lncRNA from 1 species
CAGUACCGGAUGUUGGGAUUUCUCAACAGAAGCGUUGAAUCGGGUUUUUACCAUAAAUCCGUCUCCUCAGCAAAAGCUGUGUAACAUACCGGAUUUUAAUAUAAAAAAUUAAGAUAAAUAAAAAUAGUGUGAGAUACUAUUUUUAUUGGAUUUAGAGAAGUAAAACAUAAGUCGGAAAUGACUUGUGCUGAAAUCGGAACGAAAACAGAAGAUUUAGAAUUUUCUGUUGGAAACGGGGCUGAUAUUUUAGCAGAAAAUACACAGUGUCAGAAAAUUAUGAAAAUUGGAGAAUAUGUCAGAAUUAUUUUUAUGAGGCUAGAUUUAAAGUUUCAUAUCAUUCUGACACUCGAAAGGUGCAAAAUAAAAUCCGACUGCUAUCUGCUAGAGAUUAUAAUUCGGUAGAGCUUUCAGUGACCAAACAUGGUCGAAACUGAAAGAUUAAAUUUUUUUUGUACUUAUUAAGUAAAACCGAGGCUGACUGUCAAAUUUCAGCGCAAACGGACAUUCAGAAGGGUUCCGACGAAAAACGUCAGUUUGUAAGCUGCUAAUCUGCUAAUGUGAAUAU